GGGUUGUGAGGUUAAGCGACUAAGCGUACACGGUGGAUGCCCUGGCAGUCAGAGGCGAUGAAGGACGUGCUAAUCUGCGAUAAGCGCCGGUAAGGUGAUAUGAACCGUUAUAACCGGCGAUUUCCGAAUGGGGAAACCCAGUGUGAUUCGUCACACUAUCAUUAACUGAAUCCAUAGGUUAAUGAGGCGAACCGGGGGAACUGAAACAUCUAAGUACCCCGAGGAAAAGAAAUCAACCGAGAUUCCCCCAGUAGCGGCGAGCGAACGGGGAGGAGCCCAGAGCCUGAAUCAGCAUGUGUGUUAGUGGAAGCGUCUGGAAAGGCGCGCGAUACAGGGUGACAGCCCCGUACACAAAAGCGCAUGUGCUGUGAGCUCGAUGAGUAGGGCGGGACACGUGGUAUCCUGUCUGAAUAUGGGGGGACCAUCCUCCAAGGCUAAAUACUCCUGACUGACCGAUAGUGAACCAGUACCGUGAGGGAAAGGCGAAAAGAACCCCGGCGAGGGGAGUGAAAAAGAACCUGAAACCGUGUACGUACAAGCAGUGGGAGCACAGGUUUACCUGUGUGACUGCGUACCUUUUGUAUAAUGGGUCAGCGACUUAUAUUCUGUAGCAAGGUUAACCGUAUAGGGGAGCCGGAGGGAAACCGAGUCUUAACCGGGCGUUAAGUUGCAGGGUAUAGACCCGAAACCCGGUGAUCUAGCCAUGGGCAGGUUGAAGGUUGGGUAACACUAACUGGAGGACCGAACCGACUAAUGUUGAAAAAUUAGCGGAUGACCUGUGGCUGGGGGUGAAAGGCCAAUCAAACCGGGAGAUAGCUGGUUCUCCCCGAAAGCUAUUUAGGUAGCGCCUCGUGAAUUCAUCUCCGGGGGUAGAGCACUGUUUCGGCUAGGGGGCCAUCCCGGCUUACCAACCCGAUGCAAACUGCGAAUACCGGAGAAUGUUAUCACGGGAGACACACGGCGGGUGCUAACGU
rnacentral:rRNA from 1 species